rnacentral:rRNA from 1 species
AUUGAACGCUGGCGGCAGGCCUAACACAUGCAAGUCGAGCGGCUGAAGGGAGCUUGCUUCUUGAUACAGCUGCCGACGGGUGGGUAAUGCCUAGAUAUCUGCGUGUCUGUGGGGGAUAACGGCCGGACACGGGCGCUCAUACGGUAUACGUCCUGAGGGAGUACGGGUGAAAGCUGCGGACCUUCGGCUAUUACAUGAGCCGAUGUCGGAUUAGCUAGUUGGUGGGGUAAAGGCCUACCAAGGCGACGAUCCGUAACUGGUCUGAGAGGAUGAUCAGUCACACUGGAACUGAGACACGGUCCAGACUCCUACGGGAGGCAGCAGUGGGGAAUAUUGGACAAUGGGCGAAAGCCUGAUCCAGCCAUACCGCGUGUGUGAAGAAGGUCUUCGGAUUGUAAAGCACUUUAGUUUGGGAGGAAAAGCAGUAAGUUAAUACCUUGCUGUUUUGACGGUACCAACAGAAUAAGCACCGGCUAACUUCGUG